CCUACGGGGGGCAGCAGUGGGGAAUAUUGCACAAUGGGGGAAACCCUGAUGCAGCGACGCCGCGUGAGUGAAGAAGUAUUUCGGUAUGUAAAGCUCUAUCAGCAGGGGAGAAAAAAGACGGUACCUGACUAAGAAGCCCCGACUAACUACGUGCCAGCAGCCGCGGUAAUACGUAGGGGGCAAGCGUUAUCCGGAUUUACUGGGUGUAAAGGGAGCGUAGACGGGUGUGCAAGUCUGAAGUGAAAGCUCAGGGCUCAACCCUGGGAUUGCUUUGGAAACUGGGGAGCUAGAGUACAGGGGAGGUAGGUGGAAUUCGUGGUGUAGCGGUGAAAUGCUUAGAUAUUAGGAGGAACUCCAGUUGCGAAGGCAGCUUACUAGACAGCAACUGACGUUGAGGCUCGAAAGCGUGGGGAGCAAACAGGAUUAGAUACCCCUGUAGUC
rnacentral:rRNA from 1 species